UCGGGAAUUUUGGGCAAUGGGCGAAAGCCUGACCCAGCAACGCCGCGUGAAGGAUGAAGUAUUUCGGUAUGUAAACUUCGAAAGAAUAGGAAGAAUAAAUGACGGUACUAUUUAUAAGGUCCGGCUAACUACGUGCCAGCAGCCGCGGUAAUACGUAGGGACCAAGCGUUGUUCGGAUUUACUGGGCGUAGAGGGCGCGUAGGCGGCAAUUCAAGUCAUCUGUGAAAUCUCCGGGCUUAACUCGGAACGGUCAGAUGAUACUGCUUUGCUAGAGUGCAGAAGGGGCAAUCGGAAUUCUUGGUGUAGCGGUGAAAUGCGUAGAUAUCAAGAGGAACACCUGAGGUGAAGACGGGUUGCUGGGCUGACACUGACGCUGAGGCGCGAAAGCCAGGGGAGCAAACAGGAUUAGAUACCCCCGUAGUCCCUGAGCGGGCUGGCAAGGCGCAU
rnacentral:rRNA from 1 species